rnacentral:rRNA from 1 species
CCCUUAGAUGUUCUGGGCCGCACGCGCGCUACAAUGGUCUUCGCAAACGGAUGCAUUCUCGAAGGAGAAUGCCAAUCUUGGAAUCUAUGCCUUGGUCGGGACAGUUGCUUGCAAUUUUUCGACUCGAACCAGGAAUUCCUUGUAAUCGUGAUUCAUCACAUCACGAUGAAUACGUCCCUGCCCUUUGUACACACCGCCCGUCGCUCCUACCGAUCGAAGAGUUAGGUGAAUUGUUUUGAUCGAUAAGAUUUGACUAUGGUCAACUCUCGUUGUGAAAUUCUGUGAAUCUGACUGUUUAGAGGAAGGAAAAGCCGUAACA